GACCCCAUUGUCUAGCCAGGUCAGGACAAGAGCUUUUCAAGCUCUGAGCGCGGGUUCGAAUCCCGCUGGGGUCA
rnacentral:tRNA from 1 species